AUACUUACUUGGUGUCGGGCUGCUGAUGAUCACCAAGGUCAGCGCCCCGUGUCGAGGCCUUCCACUACACUGCGGUUGGUUGAAGCACGCCACUACCCCUAAUUGGGGCAGAUGGGGCAUGUAAUUUUUGGUAGUGGGGCUCGGCGCACGCGCUGGCCCCGU